rnacentral:rRNA from 1 species
AUUGAACGCUGGCGGCAUGCCUUACACAUGCAAGUCGAACGGUAGCAGGUUAAGCUGACGAGUGGCGAACGGGUGAGUAAUAUAUCGGAACGUGCCCAGUCGUGGGGGAUAACUGCUCGAAAGAGCAGCUAAUACCGCAUACGACCGGAGGGUGAAAGCGGGGGAUCGCAAGACCGCGCGCGAGUGGAGCGGCCGAUAUCAGAUUAGGUAGUUGGUGGGGUAAAGGCCUACCAAGCCUACGAUCUGUAGCUGGUCUGAGAGGACGACCAGCCACACUGGGACUGAGACACGGCCCAGACUCCUACGGGAGGCAGCAGUGGGGAAUUUUGGACAAUGGACGCAAGUCUGAUCCAGCCAUGCCGCGUGCGGGAAGAAGGCCUUCGGGUUGUAAACCGCUUUUGUCAGGGAAGAAAAGGUUCUGGUUAAUACCUGGGACUCAUGACGGUACCUGAAGAAUAAGCACCGGCUAACUACGUGCCAGCCGCCGCCGUAAGAC